rnacentral:lncRNA from 1 species
GCAAUUUGCAGUGGUUAGAAAUGACAAAGGAUGGGUGGUAGGAUCCAGAGAAAAAACAGUGAAACCCGAUGGACCUUAAAUAGAUCUGAGGGCACUGAUUUGAUUAUUUUGGGUGAAAUCUUUUAAGAAAAUCUUGUCAGAUUCUUCACAGAAAAUUUGGUAAAGCCUAUAUUUCAUCGCCAGCCUAGCAAAGGUAAGACCCACGUUAAUUUUCUUGGAAUAUCACUGUUGUUUUUAUUCUUAGGGUGUAUGUUAGGGAGAAGAGCAGGGAGGUAGUUUGUCAGAUGUUGUUCUUUCCUUGUUAAGCUUCACCUGUUCUUAAGAGCAACUUGCACUUUGUCAGCCACAGAAUAGUGCCUGCCGUUCAGGCCAGUGUUUUAGAUAUAAUUGAAUUGCUGGGACGCAUUAAACAUCAUAGGGUUUUUAGCGGAGAAAUAAUUUAAUGAUGUGGCCUUUAGGAUUGUUAAUUAGCACUGUCUGUAUGAACAUGUAACAAUAACACCACCUACCGUAAAAGCGAAUGUUCUACACUUCAGGACACUCAUUUCUUUAGGGCUUCCCGCAGAGAAGCAGUCAUUAACUCUUUUUUUGACAAAUGCUUUUAGACAUGCUCUGUAGGGCCGUGAAUUCACCCUUCCCUCCAAUCCUGAAUCCUUCUCUGCAUUUAUCCACAAGGCAAGCUGGCAAACAGGGAAACAAGGAGAACUGUGUGCUCAGCCCUCCAGAGUGGCACGGAUUAUGAGGAGGUGAUGGUCCUUCCCCGCCAAGAUCCUGAGACACUGUCACUCCGGAAUCCAAAAAGAGAUUCAGAUACCAUGAAAGGAUUUGAGCGUUUUUUUAUGUGAAUCCAAAGAUGACAUUUACAAAAGGUGGAGAAGCAGUUCCCUACUGAGGGACGUGGAUACAAAAAGCAGAUGACACAACACAUCCCAUAGAGUUCCCAGGGAAGAAUGAACCCAGAUUCUUGACCUGCAGAGGUGGCGUACUGGCUGGAGAAAUCUCUGGCUGGCGACCGUGCUAUUCUGUCUGUCCACCUAACUGUGGGCUCCCAGAUCACCACUGCCAUGGGCAGGGGGCCGUGGGGUGGGCCUGCUUGGGGUGACAGGCUAGCUGUGCUCCCAUAGCAGAGGUGGGAGAAGGGAAUCACAUCUGGUGAGCAGCUAUGUCGUGCCAGGCACUGUGCUGUGUAUUGCACACAUCUCAAA